rnacentral:rRNA from 1 species
GACGAACGCUGGCGGCGUGCCUAAUACAUGCAAGUCGAGCGGACUUGAUGAAGUGCUUGCACUUCUGAUGGUUAGCGGCGGACGGGUGAGUAACACGUAGGUAACCUGCCUAUAAGACUGGGAUAACAUACGGAAACGAAUGCUAAUACCGGAUACGCGAAUUGGUCGCAUGGCCGAAUCGGGAAAGACGGAGCAAUCUGUCACUUAUAGAUGGACCUGCGGCGCAUUAGCUAGUUGGUGAGGUAACGGCUCACCGAGGCGACGAUGCGUAGCCGACCUGAGAGGGUGAUCGGCCACACUGGGACUGAGACACGGCCCAGACUCCUACGGGAGGCAGCAGUAGGGAAUCUUCCGCAAUGGACGAAAGUCUGACGGAGCAACGCCGCGUGAGUGAUGAAGGUUUUCGGAUCGUAAAGCUCUGUUGCCAGGGAAGAACGCUUGGGAGAGUAACUGCUCUCAAGGUGACGGUACCUGAGAAGAAAGCCCCGGCUAACUACGUGCCAGCAGCCGCGGUAA